rnacentral:sRNA from 1 species
UUGAGAGCAUUGGAGACUAAAAUCUUCUCUGUACAGAGCAGGUAUAUACAGGAGGAAUCUCAGCUCUAAAAGCUUCCCUACAUAACCCUGCUGAUGUGCCUGCGCUGUAACCUGCAGAGACCACCUCAGGGGGUGAAAGGGCAGUUCAGUCUCCCUGCCAAUCCACUUUAAUCCUUU